ACACUCUGUUGGGAAUGUAACCCGAUGCAACCAAAUAUCCUUUUGUAAAAGCAAGAGAUACGACUUUAAUCGAGAGCUGUUCCAUAAUCAACAAGAAAUCCACCAGGAAUUCUUAGAUACAUUGGUUUUCGGGCUAUGGACCAGGUAUGAUGAGACUAAGAAUCGGUUCCCCGAGGUUUUCAUCUCUGAACACAAGAGGGCUCUUAAAGGGGAAGUCCAGGGAUUGAAUUAACAAUGUAUACGAUCAUGACAUAUGUACUGUACCUAGAAAAAUUGAGCUUAAACCGAUAGCUUUUAAUGUUGUUUUGAGACUAUUUUUAUCGGCAAUUUUGAAUGCUCCCUGUCACUGCUAUUUUGGCGAGUCACAUGACCUACGUGUGCGGAUGUGACAUCUCAUGUGCGCAAACAGGCUCGGUUAUGUUUCUACACAAACAUGGCCAGCGCUGAUUUCUCAUAUUUGUCCUCAUCUGAUGAAGAAAUAGCAAUAUCAGUAGCUCAGGAAGACAGAAGAAUACGUCCAUGCAGAUUUGCACCUGUGGCUGUAAAUAAUGUUGAAUAUUCAGAUGGUUCUUUGGACGGGAAUGAUGCGGAGUCUGACUAGUUGGAUGCCGACGCGUGGGAGAUUAAGUGUGUAAACAAAGGGUCGGUUAAAUUCCUACACAAUCAUGGACAGCGCUGAUUUAUCGGACUUAUCCUCAUCUGAUGAAAAAAUAGCACUAUCGGUUGCUAGGGAACACUGAGGAAUACAGGGAUGAGACUUUUCCGCUGAUCGGCGGAUUUGCGACUUUUUCAGACCAAAAUGACCAUUCUCGAGAUAAGCGCAAAUCCCUUGAGAUUUUUUAUUUUUUUUGGGGGGGGGAGUGGGGUAUCGUGCGCCUGCCUCUCGGUGGUGGGCUCCGAGCUGAAAGUUCAGCUUAGUGCUAGCACCAGCACGACUAUCAUAUGCCAUUCUAACUUGCUCGAUAGUGUAAAUAUUUGCAUUUUCCGACAUAAGCAUUACAACUUGUUUGCGGCAGAUUACUCGAUUGGACAACAGAGUUAUACAGUAUAACGAUCCAAUCGUGUUAGUGGUAAAUCAAGUUUCACCAUUGUCUUGUACUUGUGUUCUCGGUUCUCAGAAAUCGCAGUGUAACUUGCUAGUUAUCAAAGUAAUGGCGCAUGGGACUUCGCGCAAACGGAGCGACGGUGUAUUAAAAGAUUUACGAUGGCGAAAGUGUUAGAAAAAAAGGAUGUAGAUGGAGCGAGGGCAAUUGACAAGAAUGCUGGAAUCAAAAACUGUUUCAGACGGGCAUGGCUUGAAAAAAGUGUACCCGUGCAGAUAGGACCGAAAACGGUAUCAACAUGUCUAACCGAACACGUACAAAAAGUGGACAUUCCUGGCAAAGUGCUGUGCACUCUGUGUUCCGAUAGGAGCAAAAAAUAUCCAGGAGGAAAGUCAUUCUCAUCCCUGGGAAUACGUCCAUACAGAUUUGAACCUUUGGCUGUAAAUAAUAUUGAAUAUUCGGAUGAUUCUUUGGACGGGAAUGACGUGAGUCUGACUACGCAGAGGCCGACGCGCAGGACACGCCAUUCAUCCAUCCUAUCGAUUUUAGAGCAGCGGAGGACCGCACUCGUGGCCAUGAAGGAUGGUAGAACCCAUCAGUGAAAGCCGCAAAGGGGUCACUCAAGCGGAAAAGGGAAGAGUGAGCCCAGUGAAAUAUAUGUGCCGAGGAAGUGACGUUUACCGGUAUGUUUUUUUUGUUGUUUUUUUUUUUUUUUGCCGGCCCUGUUAGCGCUGUGCUAGCGUGUUGUUGCUGUGUUACUGCCGUGUCUUAGUGAUUUUUAUCGGUAUGUUUUUUUUUUUUAACUGUUUGUGCUGUGCUACCGCCGUGGCUGGUUUAUUUAUUUAUUUUUCAACCAGCCCUGUUUGUAUUACCAUGUUGCUGCUAUGUUAAGAUAAGAUAAGGUAUUAAAACUUUGAAAACUC